GAUGAACGCUGGCGGCGUGCUUAACACAUGCAAGUCGAACGGAAAGGCCACAGCUUGCUGUGGUACUCGAGUGGCGAACGGGUGAGUAACACGUGGGUGAUCUGCCCUGUACUUCGGGAUAAGCUUGGGAAACUGGGUCUAAUACCGGAUAGGAAUCACAUGUGGGUGUGUGGUUGGAAAGCUUUUGCGGUAUGGGAUGAGCUCGCGGCCUAUCAGCUUGUUGGUGAGGUAAUGGCCUACCAAGGCGUCGACGGGUAGCCGGCCUGAGAGGGUGUACGGCCACAUUGGGACUGAGAUACGGCCCAGACUCCUACGGGAGGCAGCAGUGGGGAAUAUUGCACAAUGGGCGCAAGCCUGAUGCAGCGACGCCGCGUGGGGGAUGACGGCCUUCGGGUUGUAAACUCCUUUCGUCAGGGACGAAGCGAAAGUGACGGUACCUGGAUAAGAAGCACCGGCUAACUACGUG
rnacentral:rRNA from 1 species